AAGUCGUAACAAGGUUUCCGUAGGUGAACCUGCGGAAGGAUCAUUACUUUCAGUACUUUGGGGGCUGUCAGUCUAUAUCACUAUAGCGAGCCUCCGUCUGAAACCCUUGUCUUUUGCGUACCUUAUGUUUCCUCGGCGGGCUUGCCCGCCGGUUGGACAACCUUAAAACCUUUUUAAUUUUCAAUCAGCGUCUGAAAAAACAUAAUAAUUACAACUUUCAACAACGGAUCUCUUGGUUCUG
rnacentral:misc_RNA from 1 species